ACCCUCGUGGACCAUGGUGGUUGUCUGGUUUGUUUAAGGAGUAUAUAUCCUACUACCAGAAUCCAGAAUGCGAGGGUUCGAUUCCCUCUGAGGGCA